AGUGAACGCUGGCGGUAGGCCUAACACAUGCAAGUCGAACGGCAGCACAGUAAGAGCUUGCUCUUACGGGUGGCGAGUGGCGGACGUGUGAGGAAUACAUCGGAAUCUACUUUUUCGUGGGGGAUAACGUAGGGAAACUUACGCUAAUACCGCAUACGACCUACGGGUGAAAGCAGGGGAUCUUUGGACCUUGCGCGAUUGAAUGAGCCGAUGUCGGAUUAGCUAGUUGGCGGGGUAACGGCCCACCAAGGCGACGGUCCGUAGCUGGUCGGAGAGGAUGAUCGGCCACCCUGGAACUGAGCCACGGUCAUGGCUCCUACGGGAGGCAGCAGUGGGGAAUAUUGGACAAUGGGCGCAAGCCUGAUCCAGCCAUCCCGCGUGGGUGAAGAAGGCCCUCGGGUUGUAAAGCCCUUUUGUUGGGAAAGAAAAGCAGCAGGUUAAUACCCCGCUGUUCUGACGGUACCCAAAGAAUAAGCACCGGCUAACUUCGUG
rnacentral:rRNA from 1 species